ACCUCAAGUGGUCAGGAUGAUUAUUGGGCCUAAAGCAUCCGUAGCCUACUUUGUAAGUUUUCGGUUAAAUCCAUGUGCUCAACGCAUGGGCUGCCGAAAAUACUGCAUAGCUAGGGAGUGGGAGAGGUAGACGGUACCCAGUAGGUAGGGGUAAAAUCCUUUGAUCUAUUGAUGACCACCUGUGGCGAAGGCGGUCUACCAGAACACGUUCGACGGUGAGGGAUGAAAGCUGGGGGAGCAAACCGGAUUAGAUACCCGGGUAGUCCCAGCUGUAAACGAUGCAGACUCGAUGAUGCAUUGGCAUAAUAGCCAUUGCAGUGUCGCAGGGAAGCCGUUAAGUCUGCCGCCUGGGAAGUACGUACGCAAGUAUGAAACUUAAAGGAAUUGGCGGGGGAGCACCACAAGGGGUGAAGCCUGCGGUUCAAUUGGAGUCAACGCCAGAAAUCUUACCCGGAGAGACAGCAGAAUGAAGGUCAAGCUGAAGACUUUACCAGACAAGCUGAGAGGUGGUGCAUGGCCGUCGCCAGCUCGUGCCGUGAGAUGUCCUGUUAAGUCAGGUAACGAGCGAGAUCCCUGCCGCUAGUUGCUAUCAUUAUUCUCAGGAAUAGUGGAGCGAAUUAGUGGGACUGCCGUUGUUAAAACGGAGGAAGGAAGGGGCUACGGCAGGUCAGUAUGCCCCGAAACUCUGGGGCCACACGCGGGCUGCAAUGGUAGUGACAAUGAGUUCCAAACUCGAAAGAGAGUGGCAAUCUCUAAACGCUACCACAGUUAUGACUGAGGGCUGUAACUCGCCCUCACGAAUAUGGAAUCCCUAGUAACCGCGUGUCAUUACCGCGCGGUGAAUACGUCCCUGCUCC
rnacentral:rRNA from 1 species